rnacentral:tRNA from 1 species
GCGAGGGUUGCCAAGCCAGGUCAAAGGCGCAGGGCUUAGGACCCUGUCUCGAAGGAGUUCGUGAGUUCGAAUCUCACCCCUCGCACCA